CAUGGGGCUUCAUCACUGGGGGUCAACCCUAGGUCAUGGGGCUUCAUCACUAGGGGUCAACCCUAGGCCAUGGGUCUUCAUCUCUAGGGGUCAACCCUAGGCCAUGGGGCUUCAUCACUAGGGGUCAACCCUAGGCCAUGGGGUUCGUCACUAAGUGUCCCCUAAAGUACAGUCAUUGUGAUAUUGUCCAAAGUAGAGCUUUACUCAUGUUCUCCUGUUAUGAAGUAGUUUUGAUGUGUAACUGUUGUAUUGCAAUGAGAUGCCUUCAGAUGUCUAGAAACCCAUAUUAACGAUCAAUACAUGUUGAUAUCUUCAGAUGUCUAGAAACCCAUAUUAACGAUCAAUACAUGUUGAUGCCUUCAGAUGUCCAGAAACCCAUAUUAACGAUCAAUACAUGUUGAUAUCUUCAGAUGUCCAGAAACCCAUAUUAUAAAGAUCAAUACAUGUUAUCUUCAGAUGUCUAGAAACCCAUAUUAACGAUCAAUACAUGUUGAUAUCUUCAGAUGUUUAGAAACCCAUAUUAACGAUCAAUACAUGUUGAUAUCUUCAGAUGUCUAGAAACCCAUAUUAACGAUCAAUACAUGUUGAUAUCUUCAGAUGUCUAGAAACCCAUAUUAAAGAUCAAUACAUGUUGAUAUCUUCAGAUGUCUAGAAACCCAUAUUAAAGAUCAAUACAUGUUGAUGUCUUCAGAUGUCCAGAAACCCAUAUUAAAGAUCAAUACAUGUUGAUAUCUUCAGAUGUCUAGAAACCCAUAUUAAAGAUCAAUACAUGUUGAUGCCUUCAGAUGUCUAGAAACCCAUAUUAAAGAUCAAUACAUGUUGAUAUCUUCAGAUGUCUAGAAACCCAUAUUAACGAUCAAUACAUGUUGAUAUCUUCAGAUGUCUAGAAACCCAUAUUAACGAUCAAUACAUGUUGAUAUCUUCAGAUGUCUAGAAACCCAUAUUAACGAUCAAUACAUGUUGAUAUCUUCAGAUGUCUAGCAACCCAUAUUAAAGAUCAAUACAUGUUAUCUUCAGAUGUCUAGAAACCCAUAUUAACGAUCAAUACAUGUUGAUAUCUUCAGAUGUCUAGAAACCCAUAUUAACGAUCAAUACAUGUUGAUA